ACUCCUACGGGAGGCAGCAGUGGGGAAUAUUGCACAAUGGGCGCAAGCCUGAUGCAGCCAUGCCGCGUGUGUGAAGAAGGCCUUCGGGUUGUAAAGCACUUUCAGUUGUGAGGAAGGUGGUGUCGUUAAUAGCGGCAUCAUUUGACGUUAGCAACAGAAGAAGCACCGGCUAACUCCGUGCCAGCAGCCGCGGUAAUACGGAGGGUGCGAGCGUUAAUCGGAAUUACUGGGCGUAAAGCGCAUGCAGGUGGUUUGUUAAGUCAGAUGUGAAAGCCCGGGGCUCAACCUCGGAACUGCAUUUGAAACUGGCAGACUAGAGUACUGUAGAGGGGGGUAGAAUUUCAGGUGUAGCGGUGAAAUGCGUAGAGAUCUGAAGGAAUACCGGUGGCGAAGGCGGCCCCCUGGACAGAUACUGACACUCAGAUGCGAAAGCGUGGGGAGCAAACAGGUUUAGAUACCCUGGU
rnacentral:rRNA from 1 species